rnacentral:rRNA from 1 species
GACGAACGCUGGCGGCGUGCUUAACACAUGCAAGUCGAACGGUGAAGCGGGUGCUUGCACUCGUGGAUCAGUGGCGAACGGGUGAGUAACACGUGAGUAACCUGCCCUCCACUCUGGGAUAAGCGCUGGAAAACGGCGUCUAAUACUGGAUACGACCGACCCUCGCAUGGGGUGUUGGUGGAAAGAUUUAUCGGUGGUGGAUGGACUCGCGGCCUAUCAGCUUGUUGGUGGGGCAAUGGCCUACCAAGGCGACGACGGGUAGCCGGCCUGAGAGGGCGACCGGCCACACUGGGACUGAGACUCGGCCCAGACUCCUACGGGAGGCAGCAGUGGGGAAUAUUGCACAAUGGGCGAAAGCCUGAUGCAGCGACGCCGCGUGAGGGAUGACGGCCUUCGGGUUGUAAACCUCUUUCAGCAGGGAAGAAGCUUUUGUGACGGUACCUGCAGAAGAAGCACCGGCUAACUACGUG